UCCCCCGUGGCCAAGCUGGUUAAGGCGACAGACUGUUAUCCCAUCAAGGAUUCCGCAAUCUGGAGGUCGCUAGUUCGACUCUAGCCGGGGGAG
rnacentral:tRNA from 1 species